rnacentral:lncRNA from 1 species
GGGUGAGGCUAUAAACAUAAAUUUAUAUAUCUUAAAUAUGGUCCCUACUAAGAUAGUUCAAAAGACUUUUUAUAGGUUAUGGACUAAUAGGAAAUCUAGUUUGGAUAGCAUAUUUAGUAAGAGCAGAGAACCUUGAGAUAUUAUUUUUGAGAAAAUACUAAAAAUAAAUUCUGCACCUGAAAAGCAGAUUGAAGUGAUAAUUUCUAUUAU